AAUUGUAAGCCGCCACCUCAUUUAAAUGUUUUCCUUUAUAAGAGUUGCUGUGGUCAUGGUGUCUCUUAACAACAAUAGAAACCCUAACUAAGUCACAUGGUAUUAAAGAGAGAUGACUCAAUUAAGGGGCCACAAACCAAGGUAGAACUGAAAUACUUGAGAACUAAAAAAAAUGAGAAAAGAGUAAUUUGAGUUGAAGUGUGCUUAAGUCUUUCAAGGGAAAGUACUAUUGAAUUUUAGAUUUUAAUAAGUAUACAUGAAAAAAAGAAUAACUGGUAAAAAGAAGAAAUAAAACAAAUAAAGAAACAGAAAAAUGAGCUAAAGAGAAGAUUAAUUUUAAAAAGGUCAGAAAAAGAAAACUUAAAAAAGGCAAAGAGGAGCAGAAAAUAAGAUGAUAGAAAGUCAAAUAUAUUAGGAAUACGUAAAUCCAGUAAAUGUAAAUGAUAUCCAGCUAAUAAACAAAGUUUGUCUUCUUGGUAGAAAUCAACGAGCAACCAUCUGUUCCUACUCUGGCUAAAUGAUGUUUGCUCAGGAGACUGUAAAAUAUAUAGGCUCAGGAAGACUGAAGACACAGGGUUUGAAAACAAAAUGUGAAUAUAAGAUUGAGGGUGAUCCCCACAUUGUCAAGUCCAGCCAUAUUUAGUUUAGUUAGUGCUUUCAGACAAGUUGUAUUUACUCUACUAAUGCAAUGUUGGUGUAAUAUAUUGAAAGACAUUCACCACAUCCUAAUAUUAAGUCAAAAGAUUGAAACUACAAAUGAUCUCAAUAGACUCAGAAAAAAAAACCACUUGAUAAAAUACCAUUAUGAUAAGACAUGGUAGUUGCUAUGGUUUGUAUGGGGCCUUAGUUAGAGUUUCUGUUGCUGUGAAGAUUCUAUGACCAUGGCAACUCUUACAAAGGAAAAAAAUUAACAGAAUGGCUUACAGUUCCAGAAAUUUAAUCCAUCAUCAUGAUAGUAUGACAUGGUGUUGUGUAGGCAGACAUGGCACUGGAGCUGAGAGUCCUACAUCUUGAUUGGCAAGCAACAGGAAGUGGUCUGUAUCACUGGGUGUAGCUUGAGCAUAUGUGAACUCAAAGCCUGCCUCCACAGUGACACACUUCUUCCAACAAGACCACACUGACUCUGUGACUUAAGAUCCAAAUAAAUGAAGAAGUGGGAGAAAUCAAUGCCAUGAGGUGGCUGACUAGACCUCAUGCAUCUGCACAACCCUCAGUGGUAACAGGAGCCAUGGACAACAACUUAGACCUCAGCUGCUGCAGUGCCAUCGACUCAGACACAGCAACUUGGCCCAGAUGUCAUCAAGGCCCUUGGUGGCAGUGCAGGGCACUCAGAUCAGCAUGGUCCCAAUGGCGUCACAGCUCUCGGACACCAGCAUGACUACAGGAGCAAUGGCAAUCCACAGCUUAGAGUGAAGUUACAUGUUGGAGCAAGGCCUGUGCAAGGAAAAGGCUGAAACACUCCUCAUAGACACAAAGGAAAACCUGGAGAAAUGGAAAGACCAUGUUUUUGGCCAGGAAGACUCAACACCGUAAAGCUGUCAAUUCUCCCUAAGUACAUUUCUAAAUUUAAUGUGAUCCCAAUAAAAUACCAACAGUUUUUUUUAACCCAGACAAGCUGAAUUCUAAAGUUCAUGUGAAAAAAAAUGAAGAAAUAAAAACAUUAAGAAAAACUCCGAAAAGAAGAGUAAUAUCAGUGGAUUCAUUCAAGCAGAUACUAAAACAUAUUAAAAGUCUCAGUAAUUGAAACCAUGAGGAACUGAUGCAUGAAGAGCGAGACAGGCCAAUCAACCAUAAUAGAAAGCCCAGAAAUAGAAGCAAAUAUGCACGUGGGAUAUUAGUGUACCAAAAGAGUGUCUCUAAAAUCAGUGAGAGAAAUGAUUAACUGUCCAAUAAAUGUGGCUGGGGUCACUGGUUGGCCAUGUGGAAAAAUGAUAAAGUUAGCGUCAAACUUAUGAUUGUCUACCAGGACAAAUUCCAAGUGGAUUGAGGACUGAGGAGCAAAAACUAUGUCACCAACAUCCCAGAAGAAAACAUGAGAAAAGCUGUUUAUAAACUCAGAGUAAGAAAGCUCUUUCAAACCGCGACUCAAGAAGAGAGGGCAUCAGAGGGGAAAAACAGAGAAAUUAAGCUACAUUAAGGAACACUUUAUAUCAACACAGAGAGUGAAAAGUAACUAAUUGGCUGAUAAACUCAUAUUUCGUCAAAGGACUGAUUUCCCUGAUUUAUGAAGUGGUUUUAGAAUCAGCGAGAUAAAGGAGCAAGGGCCCAGAAGAAAAUGCCCACAAGGCAGAGGCAAGCAUUCAGUGAAGGGUCUGCUUGCUUGUGAUCACAGAAUUAAUGCAGAUUAAAACUAUGCAGAGAUCCAAGUUUCAUGCGAGAAUGAGAAGAAACACCCAAGAGCCUGAGGACAUAUCCUUUCUGCGAGGAUAUGUGAUGGUUAAUAUUGCCUGUCAACCUGGUAGGCUCUGGAGUUACCUAGGGGACAAACCUCUGGACACACAGGAAAGUCAAAUGUGAGUUCUCAGCUACUGCUCCAGUACUAUGCCUGCCUGCCUGAUGCCAUGCUCCCUGCAAGAAGUUCAUGGACUCACCCUCUUACCUGUAAGCAAAACCCUAAUUCUACGCCUUCGUUAUAAGUUGCCUUAUCAUGGUGUCUUCUUACAGCAAUAAAACAGUAACUAAGACAGUUUCUACCUUUCUAUUUGGCUCUGUAUGAAUGCACCACAUUACUUGAUCAGUAAUUAAGCACUUUAUUUAUUUAAAUUGAAAAAAUUUUAUACAGUGUAUUCUGAUCACCUUUCCCCCUCCCCCAAUUCCUCCCA